rnacentral:lncRNA from 1 species
CCUCCGCCCCAUCCACCACUCCUAAAAUCCCCAACCGACUGAUUCCGCCUCCCAUCAGAUGUAGAUCUAAACCCUCCGUCAUCGAAAUUAUCCCAAGUAUAGCCCAUCUUUUAUUUUUGGUUCUUGCACCUGUCGACACAAUUAUAAAAAAAUAGCAGAGAAUGUAGAAAUUAGGGCUUGACUCGGUAUGAGAGAUUUAGGCCCCUGUAUAAGAUAUCAAGGGUGGAUAUGAGACAUUUAGGCAUGGAUAUCUAGUAGUGACCUCUGCCGCCAUUGAGAGUGGCUUCCAUAGAAAAAACAAAUUCGCCGGAGGGAUGGGUAUGGAUGAAGGCUUUAAAAUGUGAAUUUUGGCCAAGGAAGAGAAAAGAAACCUAAAUAGCUCUCUGUUUCAUGCCUUACUCUUUUCCGAGACCACACCCAUAACUCUUAAAUUAGGG